UGGAUGGGAGCAGUGAUGGUGGACACUAAAGAGACAUAACAGUAUGUUUUCCUAAGAAUGAAGUAUAAAGACCUUCAAAGUGCUGCUUGCCUCUUGUCACAUGCCCUGAACACCGCAUCCUGGAGAACCUGGGGACCAGGGCAAAGACAGAGGCUGUGAAGGAUGGAUGGCAGCAAUUCACUCAAGGGCACAUGGCUAGUAAGGAAUCCAAGUGGGGUUGUGCCCCAAAUCAACCUCCUACAAAGAAUAUGCUCUUUGUAAAUGUCUCUCACUGCUGAUGCAAGACCCUUUCCCCACUGGUUGCAGACCAUCUGAUGUAAC
rnacentral:lncRNA from 1 species